rnacentral:rRNA from 1 species
UACGUAGGCAGCGAGCGUUGUUCGGAAUUACUGGGCGUAAAGAGUGUGUAGGCGGUGCUCCCAGUCUGUUGUGAAAUCUCCCGGCUUAACUGGGAGGGUGCAGCGGAAACUAGAGUGCUAGAGGGUGGGAGAGGUAAGCGGAAUUCCUGGUGUAGCGGUGAAAUGCGUAGAUAUCAGGAGGAACACCUGUGGUGUAGACAGCUUACUGGACCACUUCUGACGCUGAGACACGAAAAGCGUGGGUAGCAAACAGG